GACGAACGCUGGCGGCGUGCCUAAUACAUGCAAGUUGAGCGCUGAAGGUUGGUACUUGUACCAACUGGAUGAGCAGCGAACGGGUGAGUAACGCGUGGGGAAUCUGCCUUUGAGCGGGGGACAACAUUUGGAAACGAAUGCUAAUACCGCAUAAAAACUUUAAACACAAGUUUUAAGUUUGAAAGAUGCAAUUGCAUCACUCAAAGAUGAUCCCGCGUUGUAUUAGCUAGUUGGUGAGGUAAAGGCUCACCAAGGCGAUGAUACAUAGCCGACCUGAGAGGGGGAUCGGCCACAUUGGGACUGAGACACGGCCCAAACUCCUACGGGAGGCAGCAGUAGGGAAUCUUCGGCAAUGGACGAAAGUCUGACCGAGCAACGCCGCGUGAGUGAAGAAGGUUUUCGGAUCGUAAAACUCUGUUGGUAGAGAAGAACGUUGGUGAGAGUGGAAAGCUCAUCAAGUGACGGUAACUACCCAGAAGGGGACGGCUAACUACGUG
rnacentral:rRNA from 1 species